rnacentral:lncRNA from 1 species
AGGCUCGCCGCUCGCAUCUAUUCCCCUUUCCUCCUCUAGGAUUUUCAUUCCAUCCCCUCUAGGAUUUCCAUUCCAUCCCUCCUCUCGGCCGACGAUCCCCCACCGUCUUCCCCACCAUCAGCAAUAGGUGACCGUCUACUAUCGGCUCCUCUCUGUUCGCGAUCGUGUUGAAGGAAACUCAGAGAAAGUUCAAGUAUUC